rnacentral:lncRNA from 1 species
ACUUGCAUCUUCAAGAGCAGAUUUUGGACAAAGUUAUUCCAUAUGCAGGGUACUAAAUUGAAAAGGAGUACGAUAUAUCACCCACAAACCAACAGCCAGACGAAAGUUUUAAAUAGGUGCUUGGAGACAGCCCAAAGCCACCCACCAAAUAUGACUACCCAAAGAGAACUCUAGACCCAGCCAAGUGCCAUUAUUGAUCGACGGAUCGU